CCGUUCAUGCCUGCUUCCUUGUCUUGCUUCCUUCUCAUUGUGUCCCCUGUCACCCCACUUUUUCCAUCCCUAGCCAUUAGUUUCCUGAUUAGUCUGCACUUUCUGCUCCAUUUACGGGUAAGUGACCGUCUCUCAAAUACUCUCAACUCCAGCUUUGCCAUGUGCCCAGUUUUCUUGCCUAACUGGUCAGCAGGACAUCUGGAACUGGGAAGAAUAUGCUGUUAGAAGCUGCGGGGUAGAAUGAGGUCACUCAGCAGGUGACCGAAAGGAAAAUAGCCACAGGGCUCCCGAUAAAGCCAAAAAGGGGAAGAAGACUGAUAUAACCAGACUGAGCUUCCAGUUAAAGAGGAAGGCGAUGAGCACGGCCACAAAGAUGUUAGUGAAGGAAUUGACCAUCAUCCCAACUUGAGAGCCAGUAGCCUGCAAAUCAAAAGGCUCUCUCACAGACCUGGGAUUAGCAAUUUUGCCAGUGUGCCCUAACGAGGAUCGUCUGGUCUCCCCGCAGCUGGACUGCAUGUGCGUCACCAAGUGCAGCUUUUCAUAGGAAUUGAAGUCAGACUUGCAUGUUUGCGAGCAAGGUCCCACCCAGACCCUCUCCCUGAUGGAAUGGCAGCUGGAGAGGUCAGUAAAGCCUGAUCUUGUCCUCCAUCCCAGACCAAUACCAGAAGGAUGGCCAGCAAACAAGCCAUAGACUCAUAUUUGUUGAAUGNNNNNNNNNNNNNNNNNNNNNNNNNNNNNNNNNNNNNNNNNNNNNNNNNNNNNNNNNNNNNNNCAAUCACCAAACCCAGACACUAUUGUGGAUGCCAACAAGUGCUUGCUGACAGGAGCCUGAUAUAGCUGUCUCCUGAGAGGUCCUGCCAGUGCCUGACAAAUACAGAAGUGGAUGCUCACAGCCACUGGACUGAGAACAGAGUCUCCAAUGAAAGGAGCUAGAGAAAGGACCCAAGGAGCUGAAAGGGUUUGCAUAGGAGGAACAACAAUAUGAACUAACUAGCACUCUCAGAGCUCCCAGGGACUAAACCACCAACCAACCAUGAGUGCACAUGGUGGGACUCAUGGCUCCAGAUGCAUAUAUGUAGCAGAGGAUUGCCUUGUUGGUCAUCAAUGGGAGGAGAGGCCCUUGGUCUUGUGAAGGCUCUAUGCCCCAGUGUAGGGGAAUGCCAGGGCCAGGAAGGGGGAGUGGGUGGGUUGGUGAGCAGAGGGAGGGGGAAGGGAAAGGGGGUUUUCAGAGGGGAAACCAGUAAAGGGGAUAACAUUUGAAAUGUAAAUAAGAAAAUAUCUAAUAAAAAAGAUGAUGUUAAUGGCUGAUAUUUGCAUAUGACACUUUAUGCAAAAUAAAUGUUAAUAAAACAUGAAAAGAUAAAAAUUAAAAAUAAAUGGCUAGAGAUGUUUCUACCCA
ensembl:antisense Gm13613 predicted gene 13613